rnacentral:lncRNA from 1 species
CAUAAAUCAAAAAGAUUAUUGAUCUCCCAGCACAUUCACUGAUAAAAGGAAAUACCAGCAACUCCAUGCAUCUGAGCAUACAACUUAUAUGGACUUCUAGCAAGUGAUCCCCUGGACUUAAAAACAUGUCUGAAUCCUGGCUGGGACAGUUUGGCUUUAAGUAGUACAUCAAAUUCAGACAGGGUCUUACUCUGUUGUCCAGGCCAAGUGCAGUCGUG